AUGGAUGAUAUUAUUGGUGAUAUAACCAUUACAAAUGACGGUGUUAAUAUUCUUAGGAUGUUGGGGGUCGAACACCAAGCUACCAAGAAUAGACCAGAGAAAGGAUGCGAGGACAAGUGUCUAUCUAAAUUGAAAAGACUCAAGAAUAGACUCAAUAGUCGUAGAUUUACUCAAAAGUAUUAGUUGAUUCAUUUUGUCACAUCUUCUUCAUUUUUUGGGGAGUUUUGGAUACAGAGUUCAGUCUAAUUUAGAAAAGAUGAAUGAAGUUUUCAUAUCUAAUGCCUGAGAUGCUUUUUUUCAUAUCUAAUGCUUGAGAUGCUUUUUUUCUAUACUCGUUUGAGUGUGCAUUUUUUAACAUCUAAAGAGUGUAGUAUGUAUGACCUAUUAAUAAUGGAUUUGUAGAGACCCUCAAGCA